CAUGGUGAAAAUGAGGGUGAAGAGUCAGACAAGCUUUCACCAGGCACCUACUCUGGAACUUGUGAUGCUAGCUAUACUCCUACUCCAACCUCUUUAUCCAGCCCUUCUUCCUCCUCCACCCCAUUCCCAUCUUCAAAACCGGGAGACCAACAUAGCCCCAGCAGAACUGUACAGCUUGAAUCUAUUAAGAAGCAGCUUUUGAAAAGGGUCCAGAAUGUAACACCCGCUAAAAAGAAGCAGGGUGCCACUCCUUCAAGAAAGA